CGGCAUUGGGCGAUCGAUGAAAGCAAAGGGAGGAGAAGAAGAGAGCAUCGUUGCCACCGUCAAUCCGCCCUGUGUGUGAUCCCCCAAGCUCGAUGGGUGGUACUUGGGCGCCCCAGGUUUCCGCCGCACAUGUUGGUGGCUUCGCCAGGUGAGAACCAUGACCGGGGAACCGACAAUUGCUCAUCGGAGCAAUCCGCCUCUGUGGCGUCGCUCGCAACCGUGGGCAGGAGCAUCGGCGCUGACAACAGAGGUGAGAAACCAUCUUUGUAGUUCGCGUUGCCCUCCUUCUCGUGUAGCACCAGUUCGUUUCGAAUUUCGAGCACUAGGAGCCGCUCAGGAUUGUUGCCGGCCAUGGCGGCGCCCCGUCAGGCCAGCCCACCGCCAUGUCUGAGCGUGGUCAUGGGGUGGGAGUGCUAGAGCCGUUGGUCCAUAAACGAUUGGACGAUAUUAAGGGGGUGUUUGGUUUCAAGGGACUAAUGUUUAGUCCCUUCAUUUUAUUCUAUUUUAGUAUAUAAAUUGUCAAAUAUAGAAAUUAAAAUAGAGUUUUAGUUUCCAUAUUUAGCAAUUUUGGAACUAAAAUGGAAUAAAAUGUAGGGACUAAAAAUUAGUCCCUAGAAACCAAACACCCCCUAAAUCGAUUGGGUACGGCUCGGGCAUUGGAUUGAGACCGUUAUAUCGCGAUCGAAGGUAUUAAAUUGGUUUUGGGCUUCAUAAAAUCGCGGUUUUAGGGGGUGUUUGGUUUCUAGGGACUAAUUUUUAGUUCCUCUAUUUUAUUCCAUUUUAGUCCUUAAAAUUACUAAAUAUAGAAACUAAAACUCUAUUUUAGUUUCCCUAUUUAACAAUUUAUGAACUAAAAUAAAAUAAAGUGGAGGGACUAAAGUUUAGUCCCUAUAAACCAAACACCUCUUUAGACCAUUGACCCAACCACCAAAAUUGUGUACCGAUUUCACAUAGAUUUGAUCUCAUUUGGGCCGUCCAGUGGGAGAUUAGGUGGAUAGGAUGGCCCAAUACCCUUUCAACUGAUCAAGUAUUCAAAAGAGACCCUAAAGAAUUUAGAAAUUAAACCCAUCGUCCCCCUCCUAUGAGAAACUCUUACAAUAGGGUCCCUGGUUUUUAUAUAACCAUCCCUUGAGGUUAUUUUUAGCAUAAAAAUUAAUAAUAAAUCACCCCAAAACUUAUUUGGUUCAUAACUUCUUCGUUUUAGAUCUGAUUCAGUCGAUUCCAGUUACAUUAGCUUCGUAAUAAUAAUGUCUACAUUUUCGUAACAUUUUUUUGUUAGGUAACAUGUUCUCAAAACUAGAUAUUUGUUUAACCUAUGCUAGUAGAUUAACAUGUCUAAUCAAAGUUAAUCUAUUAUAAGAUGCCUAAAUUAUGAUUGCUAAUCAAGUUAUCACUUAGAUUAUAACUGAACUAGUUAUCUCUUCGUAAUAUUUUUAUCACAUGAGUUAUAUUAAUUAACAUAUAUUUUUACUAUUUUAUCACCUAAAACUUUAGAAAACCAUAUUUUUUUAACAAUAACUUUGAUUUUAGUAGUUCUCGAACCUACGAUCUCAUAGCGACGCGUAGAAUAUUCCUACGCAGUUUGUUCUCAUGUUUGGUGUAAUGUUAUUUUUAUGUACUCCUUGUCUACUUGUAUGUAUUGCUACGAGUAGCAGCGAGUGACGAGAAACCCGAAGACCAACAUGGUGAAACACCUAAAUAUUGCAAGUAUAAGGCAAGUUGUGCGCUUGAUCACUCUUCUUUACCUAAUAAUGUUCCUGUUAAUCACUGUGACACGCUCAGGUUAUUUUGAUGGGACCUAAUAGGUUGCCCUAGUUCUGGUUACCCCACACCAUGCAAACAAAUGAAUUAUUGGGUAGUUUGGCUAUUUCUCUACCUGGUUUUGGGAUUAAUGGUAUAUCUGAAUUAUGAUCAUGUACCAUUAAUACUGUUGGUUUCAUUAUUGUGCAUGAUAAGAUUAUUUUGUAGGUAUCUAUAUGCUUGAAUGCUUGUUCUUAUGAUACUUGUUUGAUUUGGUUCUUUGAUCGCAUGUGAUGGAUCGUGGAGUAAUGUCCAUAAUGGCACCUAAGUAUAUAAAUACAUAAAAAUAUGAUUAAAAGAAAACAAAUCCAUCUAAAUAGACCCAUCUCAUCUUAAAAGAUUCUAUCUCAUCUUAUCCUAACCACUUUGCUUAUCCCAUCCUUGAUUGAUAACAAUGAUCUAAUCAAAUUAAUUAUAUUUUAUCUAAUCUAAUUUUAGUCAUACCAACACAAUUAAAUAAGAUCUAACACUUUUCUUGUCUCAUCCUAGAGUAACAACAAUGACCUAAUCCAAAUUAAGUAGAUCUUAUCUAGUCUAAACUAGUCAUACUAAUCUAAUCUAGAUACCAUCUAAUCUAAAUAUAAUCUAAUGUGAGUUACCUAACAUAUUAGUUAAUACUGGUGGAAUAGAUUAGAACCCUACUCCUAUAACACAUGUUUAACCUAAAUUGGUUCCUUAGACCAAGUCGGCCAUGCACAACAACCUAAUCUACAUGUUGGGUUGCGUAACCUACCUAGCCCAACCUAGAAGCAAAACAACUACACCCCACUCUACCUAAUCUCAUUUAUCUUAAGCCACCUACUAAGCCAUGUGCUCUACCAACUACGCUAUUUGGUUACCUACAAAUCUGCCUUAACUACAUGUCCAUAACUCGGAUGGUAACACCAAAGUCUGGAGAAGGAAACACCAAAAACGAAGGUCUCCAACCUCGAUGAAGACACCAAGACUCUAGAAGAAAUAAAUCAUCCUUGUCAACAAAGGAUAAGAGUCAGACCAGAUCUUCAGAUACAUCAGGAUUCACCAUCCAGAAUGGAGUCAUUCUUUGCCUAAAAUCCUUUUUUACAACCACCUUCCUUUACUCAAACCAUCUCUCAUCAUGCCUAAUAGGUGGUUGGGCUUAAGAAAAAAAUAUAAUACUCAUGUUUCCCUAAUCACCUCCUAAUCAAUAUAAUACUCUUCAUUUUUUGACCAAUUAGAAACUAAAAGCUAAAUUACAAACCAAUAUUUUUAUAGUUUUUACUAAUCUCGAGGAUGAGAUUACUUUUAAGGGGUAGAAUUUGUAACACCCAAAAUCAUAGUAUAGUAAUUUAGAUAAUUCUUCAAAAGAUUUGAGAUAAAAUGUCUUCUAAUAAUAAUUCCCUUCCUUUAUAAUGUAUAUCUCUCUAAAGUAAAUAAAUAAUAAUGGUAAAAGUUUGGUAGUUCAAAAUUUAGAUCAAACUCUUGAAACAAAAAUUUACUUCGAAACCGAGACAAUUAACAAAAAGAAAAACUUUUAAAUCUAUUUAUUAUCCAUUUGGUAAACUAUAUAUAACAACAAGACACAUCCAUGGCUGGAAAGCCGAGAAACCAACAGGACUAAAGUUCACAGACCAGCCUGACCGAAGCUCUUAGAUCAGCCUAUCCAAAAACGAAACUACAAAGACCAAAAUAACUGAAUGCGUCUGUCAACUGGUUUCCAACCAUGAGCGCCUUUGAAGACUUCACUUGUUGUCUUUCGGAUUCUGAGGUUUCUUUGCUCCACCAAUUUUCUUUCCUUCUCUUUCUGCCGAAUCGCCCAAGCAUCAAGCCAGAAACAGCACAAGUAAAUCACAUUAGUAGGGUCAGAAAUCAACUUAUCACUAAAACAACAAUCAUUUCUAGAACGCCAAAUUGCCCAGAUGACUGCUCCACAACUGAAAAGAACCAAGUUCCUUUCUUUUCUAUCAAAACAGUUAAUCCAAGGGCCGAAGAUAUUUUCAACAGUUUGUGGGGAAGAAUUCAAAUCCAAAGCCAUUUGGAUAAUCCUCCAAACAUAUGGUGCAACAGAGCAUUGAAAGAAGAGAUGGUUUAUGGACUCAGGUAAUCCACAGAAAACACAAUCCAAGGGGCCAUGCCAAUUUCUUUUUCUCAGGUUAUCUUUUGUCAGAAUUUUAUUGUGGGGGACAAGCCACAAGAAAGCUUUAAUUUUGUGAGGUAACAUGGUUUUCCAUAAGAAUUUGAAAGGAACUGGUAUAUAGUCUCCGAGCCGCUUUGAAUACAAACUCUUUGACACAAGUUUCACAAUCUAUACUAGUAUACAAUUUGAGUAACCGUAGGUUAAAGAUUGUAUAAGUUGACUUUUAUCUUAUUUAAAAUAUUGUAACCAUUCGUAGAUGAAGGAACUACCUAACUUGCAGUAUAUUUACUACAACAAAUAUAUACAUUUUAGGGGUAAAACUAUAAAUGAGAUUUCUCUUUGGAGUUGGCUCUAUUAAAUUUCAAUUGUUUACCCUACUUAAAUGUGUAGUUUUGUAAAAGAAUAUGACGUCAUAGUAAUCUGUGUAUUUUAAAUAUGCUGGACCAGCUUGACACGUGGUCAGGUGAGCCCAAUCACUCAUAGACAAGUGGAAAUCAAAUGCAAAACAUGACACUAGAUAGUGAAUUGUAGCGUCUUGUUAUGUGUGUCUCGUCUCGCUACAGGAUAAUAAUAUUUAUAGGGGUGUCCAGAAUAGGUGACAUAAAGUACAGUCCUAACCUCGACUACCAAUUAUAUCUAUGGAAUAUUCCAUAUAAUGGAGUAAUUACAACACCACGCGCCUUAUUGUGCAUUGUACACCAAUUAAUACACCCGCAAAUUACAUUGACAGGUGGGCCUACAGAAGAGUCUCCCGGUGUACCGACGAAGUGCAGGUCGUGUCGCGUAGCCUUGGUCGCCACCUCGAGAGCCUUCGUGUCUUGGUGCCCU
rnacentral:lncRNA from 1 species